AACGAACGCUGGCGGCAUGCCUAACACAUGCAAGUCGAACGAGACCUUCGGGUCUAGUGGCGCACGGGUGCGUAACGCGUGGGAACCUGCCCUUAGGUUCGGAAUAACUCCCCGAAAGGGGUGCUAAUACCGGAUAAUGUCUUCGGACCAAAGAUUUAUCGCCUUUGGAUGGGCCCGCGUUGGAUUAGCUAGUUGGUAGGGUAAAAGCCUACCAAGGCGACGAUCCAUAGCUGGUCUGAGAGGAUGAUCAGCCACACUGGGACUGGGACACGGCCCAGACUCCUACGGGAGGCAGCAGUGGGGAAUAUUGGACGAUGGGCGAAAGCCUGAUCCAGCAAUGCCGCGUGAGUGAUGAAGGCCUUAGGGUUGUAAAGCUCUUUUACCCGGGAUGAUAAUGACAGUACCGGGAGAAUAAGCUCCGGCUAACUCCGUG
rnacentral:rRNA from 1 species